GAUGAACGCUGGCGGCGUGCCUAAUACAUGCAAGUCGAGCGCGAGAGUGAGGAGCUUGCUCCUCAUGAUCGAGCGGCGGACGGGUGAGUAACACGUAGGCAACCUACCCUUGAGAUUGGGAUAACUACCGGAAACGGUAGCUAAUACCGGAUACGACUUUUCCACAUAAGUGGAAUGGUUAAAAGGCGGAUUUAUCUGCCGCUCAUGGAUGGGCCUGCGGUGCAUUAGCUAGUUGGUGAGAUAGUGGCUCACCAAGGCGACGAUGCAUAGCCGACCUGAGAGGGUGUGCGGCCACACUGCGGCUGAGACACGGCCCAGACUCCUCCGGGAGGCAGCAGUAGGGAAUCUUCCGCAAUGGACGGAAGUCUGACGGUGCAACGCCGCGUGAGUGAUGAAGGGUUUCGGCUCGUAAAACUCUGUUGUUAAGGAAGAACACUUGAGGUAGUAACUGGCCUUGAGAUGACGGUACUUAACCAGAAAGCCACGGCUAACUACGUGCCAGCAGCCGCCGUAA
rnacentral:rRNA from 1 species